rnacentral:rRNA from 1 species
UGGGGGAUCUUGCACAAUGGACGAAAGUCUGAUGCAGCGACGCCGCGUGGAGGAAGAAGGUCUUCGGAUUGUAAACUCCUGUUAAGUGGGAAGAAACCUUUGCGAGUAAUAUGCGCAAAGUCUGACGGUACCACUAGAGAAAGCUCCGGCUAACUUCGUGCCAGCGGCCGCGGUAAUACGAAGGGAGCAAGCGUUAUUCGGAAUCACUGGGCGUAAAGGGCGUGUAGGCGGUUUAUUAAGUCAGUUGUUAAAUUCCCCAGCCUAACUGGGGCCAAGCAAUUGAAACUGAUGAGCUAGAGUACAGAAGAGAGAAGUGGAAUUAUCGGAGUAGCGGUAAAAUGCGUAGAUCUCGAUAGGAACACCGAUGGCGAAGGCAGCUUCUUGGUCUGUUACUGACGCUAAAAUGCGAAAGCGUGGGGAGCAAACAGGAUUAGAUACCCUGGUAGUCCACGCCGUAAACGAUGAUCACUGGACGUGGGUUUGCGUUGCAAGAUCCGUG